CGCAUGCUCACUGGGAAAACAUGGCGGGGCUGGUUCGAGCCUUGUUGCAUUUUGGCUGACCGGAGCAGUGGUGUAUGGAUGAAGUCCAAACUCCCUAGCCUGGCAUUCACGGCCUCCCACAAUCUCACCCCAACCCCUUCCUAGCUUCUUCCCUCCGGCAAUUCUGCGUCCGUCACCCCAAAUCCCGUUGUAGCUACAAGUCUGGCGGCCAUUCAUGCAGCUGUGCCCCCUCUUCCUGGAAUAGGAUCCCCACUCUCCCUUAAGAACGACAGCAUGUCCUUAAAGAAACAUCUCAAUGAGUAGGGAAAGGGUUAACAGUAGGCAGGGAUACAAAGGUACCCUCCAGAGGUUGAUUGCAGCGGCCGUCCUACUCCUUGCGUCCACCGUGCCCCCAGCCCCUGGCUGCAGAUGCGAGUGGGAGGCUAUAACUGCGGACGGGUUUUUGGGGGGGGGGGGGGGAUUAACGAUUCCAGACCUGCCCAUGCUAGGUGCCAUGAAUAGAGUUUCACAGGCUUUUAUCCAGUUCCUGAUAAGGUCCCAAUAAAAAGUCAGAGGCAAAAGUCCUUGGCGGCAACCCAGCUGGGACCCCUCUCCCUCUCAAGAGCUUGGUACUUUCGUUCAAUAAAUUCUAUCGCUUUGCUCAACUCUCUGCUGUCCGGGAGAUUCUUUCUUCUACUCUGUGAGACAAGGACCAGGGUCUCUCUCACCCACCUGUAACGUCAAGAUCCCUUCCCAAGCAACCCCAAGGCGGUUUUCAGAUUUCUUCGAAGCUCCAUUAGAAUGCAUAGGCAACUCUCCAAGCAAACUUUGUGUACCUCGCCGGGUCACAAGCGUCCUAGGAGGAGGAAGGAGAUCUUUAACAGCCGAGACUUCAGAAACCAAAUUACCAAAUCAAACACACGGGCGGGGUGGCUGGCCACGCCCCUUCCGGGACACCUAACAGGUUCCUCCAAUCACCGGGAGGAAGGGCAACUCCUGGACCACGCCAGGGAUGCGCUCAGUAGUUCCUUUGGCUCCUCCCUGCGGGGCCACGCCCCCGCCGUACGCCGUCCUGCCCGUCCAAUCACCGAGAGGAAGGGCGCACCGCAGCCCCCACUGGUAACCCACGUGGCAGUCCGCGGGCACACUUAGCUGGUGUUUCGCGUGGGAUGUGUGGGAAGCUAUGUCCGCUUCAAGCUGCGCCUUGCGCUUGCUUGUGGGAAGAGGUCAAUGUGAGGGGCAGGGCAGGCGCCCUUCGGGUGCCUGUCAGGGGAGCACCGAGCAUGGGAGUAGCGCUUGGUCCCAGCUUCGGCUGGGAGACGCGGAGGACGGCAGCAGCACGCCGACUUCCCCUUAGAGUCCCUGCGGGUGUCGGCACGGCCGCUGUCCACCUGUAACCAGCUGCUCCCCAGAGUGCCUGUCAGCUUCAGCUGAGUAGGUGUGUCUCGUUUGUUUCUUUCAGUCACGGGGGAUGGAAGCGUCAGUUUAGCCAAGUUUGUGGAUGUCCCCAAAGAGAAAUCUAAGCCUGUUCAAGAUGUGAACCAAAAGCUACCCAGAACCGGGUAACCUUUCCGAGAUGUGAACCGAUCCCAGUUACGACCAAACCGGCACGGUAGUCGUGUGUAUGCCUGCCUGGCAUAAUAUAUUUAGGAGUGAAAAAAAAAAAAAAAAAAAAAAGCGCACGUUACAACUGUUAUCAAAAUUUCCAUGUUAAGAGCCCCGAAGCUGAGCAAGACAGUGUCUCAGCCCAAUCAACCAAAACCCACCGGGAAUAAACCUGUAGUCCUACAAAAUCAGUUUGUAGCCACUUGCUGGAUUCUUUCUCAUCCUCUAUCGGAAGGAGAUGUCCCUGCAGUCUCCUCUUCUUUCCCCAAAGUGAAGAAGGAUGAUGCUAUCGCACAGAGGCCUGCCAUCUAGGAAGGCG